rnacentral:rRNA from 1 species
UUGAACGCUGGCGGCAUGCCUUACACAUGCAAGUCGAACGGCAGCACGGGAGCAAUCCUGGUGGCGAGUGGCGAACGGGUGAGUAAUAUAUCGGAACGUGCCCAGUCGUGGGGGAUAACGUAGCGAAAGCUACGCUAAUACCGCAUACGAUCUAUGGAUGAAAGCGGGGGAUCGCAAGACCUCGCGCGAUUGGAGCGGCCGAUAUCAGAUUAGGUAGUUGGUGAGGUAAAGGCUCACCAAGCCGACGAUCUGUAGCUGGUCUGAGAGGACGACCAGCCACACUGGGACUGAGACACGGCCCAGACUCCUACGGGAGGCAGCAGUGGGGAAUUUUGGACAAUGGGCGCAAGCCUGAUCCAGCAAUGCCGCGUGCAGGAUGAAGGCCUUCGGGUUGUAAACUGCUUUUGUACGGAACGAAACGGUGAGCUCUAAUACAGUUUGCUAAUGACGGUACCGUAACGAAUAAGCACCGGCUAACUACGUG